rnacentral:lncRNA from 1 species
GUCUCCAGCUGACGUUCCUGACGGAUCAGAGGAAAUGUCUGUUUCUUCUGCUUCCUCAGAUAGAAACUAUACCUGUGAGGACCUGCUGGACGACUUUGAUCACAUGGGUGGCGCUGUGAGCUUUUCCUCUCUGGAGCUCUCGCCCUCCAGCUCUGGAGGAACAUACAUAUGGGACGAAGAGAUGAUGGAGCCACUCGGACACAACACACACUCAAACACACACACACACAUUGACACACACAACACACACUCACAGCACUGCAGCUGCAGCAUCUUGAGCAGAAUGGACGGAGAGAAAAAUCAUGUGUUUGAUCUGCAGAACGACAAGAUACUGACCACGGAUCAUCCUCAGAACAGAGCAUCAUACAGAGGUACACACAUACACACUAACAUAUACACACACACACACACACACACACUAACAUAUACACACACGCUAACACACACACACUAACAUAUACACACACGCUAACACACACACACUAACAUAUACACACACG